rnacentral:lncRNA from 1 species
AAUCCUUAUAUAUCCUUAUGGGAUAUUAUUCUUGAACUUCAAAAACUCAAAUCUUCCAAUCGGACCAUUCAAACAUAUUCAAAUUUUACAUGAAGUAUUGAUGUACUUCUAAAAACUACUACAACAAAUUUCAAUUGCAAAUUCAUUAUGGAUCUUAAGAUAUCACCAAAAUCCUAACAAUAGUUUCAAAUCCUAGUAUUUAUAUACUCACGUACAAAUUUCUUCAUAUCUCACAAACUAAGCACUUAAAUGCCACAAAAUU